AUUGAACGCUGGCGGCAUGCCUUACACAUGCAAGUCGAACGGUAACAGGUUAAGCUGACGAGUGGCGAACGGGUGAGUAAUAUAUCGGAACGUGCCCAGUCGUGGGGGAUAACGCAGCGAAAGCUGUGCUAAUACCGCAUACGAUCUCUGGAUGAAAGCGGGGGACCUUCGGGCCUCGCGCGAUUGGAGCGGCCGAUAUCAGAUUAGCUAGUUGGUGGGGUAAAGGCCCACCAAGGCGACGAUCUGUAGCUGGUCUGAGAGGACGACCAGCCACACUGGAACUGAGACACGGUCCAGACUCCUACGGGAGGCAGCAGUGGGGAAUUUUGGACAAUGGGCGCAAGCCUGAUCCAGCAAUGCCGCGUGCAGGGAUGAAAGGGCCUUCGGGUUGUAAACUGCUUUGUACGGAGCGAAAAGGUCUCUUCUAAUACAGAGGCCCAGUGACGGUACCGUAAGAAUAAGCACCGGCUAACUACGUGCCAGUAGCCGACGG
rnacentral:rRNA from 1 species